GGGCGGGCAGGGGCGGCACCACAGCCCCUUUGAGCACUUCCACCGCCUCGGGCAGCCUGAAGGCCGAGUUGGGCGCGGCUGGUGCGCCUGGAGCCGGUGGCGCAGCAGCAGCUGUUUCCACUUUUACAGCAGAAGCUGGCGCAAGCCCUUGUGCUGUUACUGCAGGCAUCGCGCCCGAUGAAGGAAGCACGAGCUGGCGAAGUAGCUCCAGCGACGGCACCCGAGGAAUGCC
rnacentral:lncRNA from 1 species